ACUUGCUCUCACUUUUCCACUCCCCACUCUCUCCUCCACUCCCACACACUCUCCUCCUACCUCUCCCCACGAAAUUGCUGCUCCUCCUAGCUUCAUGGCCGGCCAUGGCCAUGGAAAGCUCACCAAGAUGCAGCUCCUUCCUCCCUCAAGCUCAUCCUCACCAUGAGAGCCUCCCCCUCCAUCUUCUCCCCAACCUUAGAUGGUUUAAUCUCCUCUUCUUCUCCCUCCUUUGCUAAGAUUGGAUCUUGAUGCAGGUGCAUGUUGGUCCAAGCAUGGAGAAGAUUCUGGUACGAUCUUGUAAAAUCCGCCAAAUCUCGUGUGCAGAUCCAAAUCGAGUGGUUCAAAGUUCUGCAGAUAGAUCAAAUCUGGUCAGAUCUGACUUUGUCGAAUUAAAUCAGGAGCUUGGAAACGAAUUUUUGAAUGAAACCAGUUGGGGGAUAUUUGGUUUAUACCAUGGUGAUAACCGAGAGAGGCAAUUGCUAAGUUGUGACGCACUCAUACCUCUACUAGAUGCGAACAAUUCCGGAGAAGAAGAAGAAGUGGUUCGGACAAGGAUUUUAUUUAUAUUGACGGGAUUCUUAUAUUGAUGAAGUUGAAGAAGUCCAGGGACAAAUAAGCCAAGGCAAGC